UUUGAUAGAUUGCAUCAUGGGUCCUGGAUCACGAAAGAGUAGCGCAUCCUCAAACUCUAUCAAAUCGCGUGGAAUUGCAGAAGCUACAACAUCUGUUCCUCCUCCUAUUGUGGCAUCUACUCCUCCGACUAUUCCAUCUCCUUCUACCGGUGCAAGUGUUGCAGGUGCACCUUCAAGACGUGUGCGGGGGCCUACACUUGGGAAAAGAGUUAGAAGGCUGAUUGAAGGCAAGGACGAGACGAGGCUCCGAGUUUAUGUCACACCAGAAAUGAGAACUUUUUGCAGGGCAAAUGCAACUAAAGUGGCCAACGAAUUGGGGUCACAAAUUAGGAUGAUGUGCCGCCCUACUGCUGAUAAUUUUUGCCACUCGUGGACACUGGUUCAUGAUGAGGUGAAAAGGGCCGUAAUAUAAGCGUACGGGUAAGAAUGUGAAACUAUGCGUAGUGAUUAUUUCUAGUGAAUAAUGAAAUAUCAUAAGGGAUUAAUUCCACUUAUUAUAUGCUUCUAGGACAAAUUUGAAGUCACCAAAAAUGAUGUUGAGUGCAUUCCGUUAGUUGAGCAAGUUUUUACGCUCAAAGCCAACUUACUCUAUAUAGACGGGAAAUGGAGAAUGAGUGAUCAUUAUGAAAAGACAAAGGAUCAUUACGAAAAGACGAAGGAAGAUGGCAAAAACCCAUAUCAGCUUCCUUUUACCGAAGACAUAAGCCAAGAUGCUUGGAAAUUUAUGAUUGAUCGUAUAUUCAACAAUCCAGAUUGGAAGCCUCGCAAAAUAGCUGGGAAAAAAAAUAGAAAUACUCCAGUAGAUGGUUUCUCUGUGGCUUCUCGUGGUCAUACUUUGGGUUCUCGAUCAUUUGUUGCUGCAAUCACCAUUGAGGCGGACAAGCCUAAUGGAAAGGUGCCAGAUUUAUGUGAGAGAUACCAGGCAUCACAUACAUUGAAAGACGGUGGAUGGAUCGAUCCUCAAUGUGCAGAGAUACAUGCGAGCAUGGUUGCCACGCGAGACGAGGCGUCUCAAUCAGGAUGUCCGCUGACGGACGAAGAACUUUCGAGGAUUCAUCUUAAGGAAGCAAAGUAUUGCGUAAGGGGAUUUGGGGUUGGCCCGAGGCCCUCAUCCUUCUCUUCCCAAUCCAGCUCCAACUUAGCACGACAAGAGCUGCAGAAAAGUUCAAUCUGAGCUGGAGUUACUUCGCGAGGAGCGACGAAGUGAACAGGAGGAGUAUGAAAGGCGAGAUGAGGAGCUAAGGCUAAGAGAUGAGCAAAGGCAACGUGAAUUUGAUGAACUCAAAGCCAUGAUGAUGAGGCAAAUGCAUGGACGAGACAAUGUGUGAUCGAGGUGAUGGUGGGAAAUAUUCGAUAUUGGAGUAUCUGGCAUCUUGUUAAGGACUAUAUAUGAAGAAAUUAGAUUUUUGUCGUGGAUUCUACCAUAAUCUAGUUUUCUCGUUGUUGAACUUUCCUAUUAUUUUGUGCUCUAGAGCUUGGAUA